GUUUAGGUUGGGUUGCGGGUAAUACUAAGCAGCCUCACGUUCUCACUCCCUUACUACACGUUUCUCACACUCUCUCUGAUUUGGUGAAACCCUAGUCGUCACCAUAUCUUCCACCCCUCAAGUCAUUUUUCACCACCGCCACCGUUUCAGCACCCACCACCACCGUUGCUCACCAUCAUAACUCACAUCCAUUCAUUCAUUAUUGACGCUCUCUCUCUGAUGAAUCAAACCUCCAAUCCAUCAAUUUUGUCUCGUUCUCAUUCAUUUCUCACGUUUGCAAGGUGAGGCGUAAUUCAUGCUUCUAUUACUUGCCUGAUUCCUUUCCCGUAAAGAAGUAAGGCCUUUAACAUGUUUGCGAGUUUCAUGUUUACCAUGUGAUGCGAAAAUUCCGAGCAAAUGUUAGAAAGAGGCUCCUGCAGAUUUGGAGACAAAUCUAGCACAGCCAGUAAGAGCCGACUUGCAAUGUCAGAGACUAAUAUUGAAUUUCAAGUUGAUAUGUGUGCUAGCUCAGUGCAAGAAACUCCCACUCUUCAAACUCAGAUGUUACAUCAAGAUCUGUUAAUAGUGAGAUUAAAGUCCAAUCAAACACAAGAGCACAAAGUUGCUCAAAGAAACAAGUUGAUUCAUUAUCACAGUUCACUCCGAGACCACCUGCACUUUGAAUUGGUUUCGAAAAAAUCAGGAUUGUUAAGUCAAUACUUCAUGGAAGGAUUUGUUAACUCAAUACUUCAUGGAAAUGGGUAAAAGGAUUAGAAUUACACAUGCUCGGCAGGUGGUGAUACAAUAGCAAGCAGUGAAAAAUGUGAAGUUAACCAUGCGGCAUGAAUAUGAUCAAAUUCCUUGAUAAUUUGAGUUAAGAUCCAUUUUAAAUGUUUAGCCAAUAUAAAAACUGCUUUUACCUUCAAUAUUUUUAACAUGAUGCUUGCUAAAGUCAUUGAUCCAAAAUUGUUAGAAUUAAAUGUGUAGUCAAUUUUCCUUUUAACAAUUAGCUUAUUUAGUUUUCAAUUUGUAUUAUAUUAAGAGAUUAAAGGUAGUGCACUGAUAAUAUAAAACAAUUUUACAUUGUCAUCUAAUUGGGAUUCAUAUUCUUUUUUUCUUAUAUUAAUAUGUUUAAAUAGUCCAUUAUUAAUGUUUAUAUUUUGUAUUAUUGAUUAAGCUUUUAAUUUGUAUUGUCUAUUAAUAUCUCUAAAUUUGAGAUGAUUCAAAAUUGUGAGUAUAUUUAUGAGUUUGAUUUGUUAACUUCUAAUUUAAAUAUGGGCAAUGCUAACCAGUGCCCCGGGGGCACUGGAUAAGGAUCAUUAAUUACAUUAUAGAUUCAUUAAUAUUAUUUAAAAAAGAGCUUAUUAAUAGCGUUAUUUAAGACUAAAAAUUAAAUAAAAUUGAGCCAUAAAGGAAAAAAUUAAGACGCUACAUAUUAUAUAUUACUCUGUAUUAAUUACUUUUCAUUUUUAUUUACGGCUGCUUUUGCAUAUUUCAUUUUCAAUGCCUAAUAUUUUUUAAUUUCAAA